rnacentral:rRNA from 1 species
GUGUCAGCAGCCGCGGUAAGACAGAGGGUGCAAACGUUGUUCGGAAUUACUGGGCGUAAAGCGCGUGUAGGCGGCACGGCAAGUCGGAUGUGAAAGCCCGCGGCUCAACCGUGGAAGUGCACUCGAAACUGCCGAGCUAGAGUCUCGGAGAGGAAGGUGGAAUGCUUGGUGUAGAGGUGAAAUUCGUAGAUAUCAAGCAGAACACCUGUGGCGAAGGCGGCCUUCUGGACGAUGACUGACGCUGAGACGCGAAAGCGUGGGGAGCAAACAGGAUUAGAAACCCCGGUAGUCC